rnacentral:rRNA from 1 species
AGAGUGAACGCUGGCGGCAGGCCUAAUACAUGCAAGUCGAACGGCAGCACGGCAGAGCUUGCUCUGUGGGUGGCGAGUGGCGGACGGGUGAGGAAUACAUGGGAAUCUGCCCAGUCGUGGGGGAUAACGUAGGGAAACUUACGCUAAUACCGCUUGCGCCCUUCGGGGGAAAGCCGGGGACCUUCGGGCCUGGCGCGAUUGGAUGAGCCCAUGUCGGAUUAGCUAGUUGGCGGGUAACGGCCCACUAAGGCGACGAUCCGUAGCUGGUCUGAGAGGAUGAUCAGCCACACUGGAACUGAGACACGGUCCAGACUCCACGGGAGCAGCAGUAGGAAUAGUUGGACAAGUGGGACGCAAGGCCUGAUCCAAGCCCAUGCCGCGGUGAAGGUGAAGUAACGGCCUUACGGGUUAGAAACGUCUACGUUUUGUACCGGAAAGAAAGUCGUU